rnacentral:rRNA from 1 species
CAGCCGCCGCGGUAAUACGAAGGGGGCUAGCGUUGCUCGGAAUCACUGGGCGUAAAGGGUGCGUAGGCGGGUCUUUAAGUCAGGGGUGAAAUCCUGGAGCUCAACUCCAGAACUGCCUUUGAUACUGAAGACCUUGAGUUCGGGAGAGGUGAGUGGAACUGCGAGUGUAGAGGUGAAAUUCGUAGAUAUUCACAAGAACACCAGUGGCGAAGGCGGCUCACUGGCCCGAUACUGACGCUGAGGCACGAAAGCGUGGGGAGCAAACAGGAUUAGAUACCCCCGUAGUCCCUGUCUCUUAUAC